UACGUAGGGUGCAAGCGUUAAUCGGAAUUACUGGGCGUAAAGCGUGCGCAGGCGGUUGUGUAAGACAGAUGUGAAAUCCCCGGGCUCAACCUGGGAACUGCAUUUGUGACUGCACAGCUGGAGUGCGGCAGAGGGGGAUGGAAUUCCGCGUGUAGCAGUGAAAUGCGUAGAUAUGCGGAGGAACACCGAUGGCGAAGGCAGCCCCCCUGGGCUAAGACUGACGCUGAGGCACGAAGGCCAGGGGAGCAAACGGG
rnacentral:rRNA from 1 species